rnacentral:lncRNA from 1 species
GCUCACCGUGUGGGAUUGGUCGGUGCAGUUUGAACCCAAAGCCCAGACAUUGCUCAAAAACCCUCUUUAUGUGGAAAAGCCAAAACUGGACAAAGGCCAACGGAAAGGAAUGCGCUUCAAAAAGUCUGGGGCCCAGUGAAUGUUGUGCUUACUCAUCCCCAGCACUGAAAGGGCACAAGUGCAUGCCAUUCCUGGGAAGG